UACAGAGACUGCAAGCGUUAUUCGGAUUCACUGGGCGUAAAGGGUGCGCAGGCGGCCAAGUGUGUGAGGCGUGAAAGCCCGGGGCUUAACCCCGGAAUUGCACCUCAAACUAUAUGGCUAGAGCAUUGGAGAGGGUAGCAGAAUUCAUGGUGUAGCAGUGAAAUGCGUAGAUAUCAUGAGGAAUACCAGAGGCGAAGGCGGCUACCUGGACAAUUGCUGACGCUCAGGCACGAAAGCGUGGGGAGCAAACAGG
rnacentral:rRNA from 1 species